rnacentral:rRNA from 1 species
CCUACGGGGGGCUGCAGUGGGGAAUAUUGGACAAUGGGGGCAACCCUGAUCCAGCCAUGCCGCGUGUGUGAAGAAGGCCCUCGGGUUGUAAAGCACUUUCAGUGAGGAAGAACGCCUGGUGGUUAAUACCCAUCAGGAAAGACAUCACUCACAGAAGAAGCACCGGCUAACUCCGUGCCAGCAGCCGCGGUAAUACGGAGGGUGCGAGCGUUAAUCGGAAUUACUGGGCGUAAAGCGCGCGUAGGUGGCUUGAUAAGCCGGUUGUGAAAGCCCCGGGCUCAACCUGGGAACGGCAUCCGGAACUGUCAAGCUAGAGUGCAGGAGAGGAAGGUAGAAUUACCGGUGUAGCGGUGAAAUGCGUAGAGAUCGGGAGGAAUACCAGUGGCGAAGGCGGACUUCUGGACUGACACUGACACUGAGGUGCGAAAGCGUGGGUAGCAAACAGGAUUAGAUACCCUGGUAGUC